UCCGCGCGCGCGCCCCGGCUGGCGACGUGCGGGGCUGAACGGGCCGGGCGAGCCGCCCCGAGCCUCGUGCUCCCGCGGGCUCCGGGGUCGCUGGGGCUUCGUUGCCAGGGUGGGGGUCCCUGCGGGGUUCCGCCCGCUCCCUCAUCUCCCCGGCGCUUUCUCGCUGCGUGCGGCGCGGCCUGCGUCUCAGCCGGAGACCAGGGACAGAUGGUCUGGAGCCAAUCCACAGUAUCUCCGAGGAGGCAUGCAUGUAUUUUUAUCUCUAGAUGAUGGGAUAAUAGGUGCAGGUGGUUUGCGUGUGGCCCAAUUGGUUCUGAUCUGACGACCACCCAACCACUGACCUCCCAUAUGCACAAUUGCAU